rnacentral:rRNA from 1 species
AUUGAACGCUGGCGGCAGGCCUAACACAUGCAAGUCGAGCAGGGUUUUCGGACCUAGCGGCGGACGGGUGAGUAAUGCGUAGGAAGCUGCACGAUAGAGGGGGAUACCAGUUGGAAACGACUGUUAAUACCGCAUAAUGUCUACGGACCAAAGUGUGGGACCUUCGGGCCACAUGCUAUCGGAUGCGCCUACGUGGGAUUAGCUAGUUGGUGAGGUAAUGGCUAACCAAGGCGACGAUAUCUAGCUGGUUUGAGAGGAUGAUCAGCCACACUGGAACGGGGACACGGUCCAGACUCCUACGGGAGGCAGCAGUGGGGAAUAUUGGACAAUGGGCGAAAGCCUGAUCCAGCCGUGGCGCUUGUGGGAAGAAGGGCUUCGGGUUGUAAAGCACUUUCAGCGAGGAGGAAGGGGUAGUAGUUAAUAGCUGCUACUUUUGACGUUACUCGCAGAAGAAGCACCGGCUAACUCUGUGCCAGCAGCCGCGGUAAGAC